rnacentral:rRNA from 1 species
CCUACGGGGGGCUGCAGUGGGGAAUAUUGCACAAUGGGCGCAAGCCUGAUGCAGCCAUGCCGCGUGUGUGAAGAAGGCCUUCGGGUUGUAAAGCACUUUCAGCGGGGAGGAAGGCGGUGAGGUUAAUAACCUCAUCGAUUGACGUUACCCGCAGAAGAAGCACCGGCUAACUCCGUGCCAGCAGCCGCGGUAAUACGGAGGGUGCAAGCGUUAAUCGGAAUUACUGGGCGUAAAGCGCACGCAGGCGGUCUGUCAAGUCGGAUGUGGAAUCCCCGGGCUCAACCUGGGAACUGCAUUCGAAACUGGCAGGCUAGAGUCAUGUAGAGGGGGGUAGAAUUCCAGGUGUAGCGGUGAAAUGCGUAGAGAUCUGGAGGAAUACCGGUGGCGAAGGCGGCCCCCUGGACAAAGACUGACGCUCAGGUGCGAAAGCGUGGGGAGCAAACAGGAUUAGAUACCCCAGUAGUC